UUGGAUUUGGCAUAGCUCAGAGACUUGGAUUUGAAGGUGCUUCUGUUGUUAUCUCCUCUCGCAAACAGGAAAAUGUAGAUGAAGCAGUAAAGAAACUGAGAGAUGGAGGAAUUGAAGUAUGUCAUGUCUCAAAUGCACAACAGAGGAAGAAUUUGAUAGACAAGACCAUUCAGGUUUGUGGCAGUUACCUGAAGCAUUUGGCCCCCGUUUGCAGGUCCGAUCGAAGUUUAGAGAAUUUAGCAUCAAUUAACAUA